AAUCUUAAUUAAAUUCAAACUGCAAAUUUGAAAAAGAUAAAUUAAUAAAUAUCUAAGAUUU
rnacentral:tRNA from 1 species